CUGAUUUGUUGGCAUGAGCUGUUGCUGGCCCUCACGCAUGGGGGCAUGUGCACGUUCUGUUCACACAUCCACUCACACCUGUGCACCCUCUGUAGUUCUAUGGUCUGGGAGACACCUGGUCUUCCUCCUGUAGUUCUAUGUCUUUACACGUACACUGUAGCAAAGUCUUAUGGAAUGUGUGCCGCGUUUAACGCAAUACAAUA
rnacentral:misc_RNA from 1 species